AGCGAACGCUGGCGGCAGGCCUAACACAUGCAAGUCGAGCGGCCGUAGCAAUACGGCAGCGGCAGACGGGAGAGUAACACGUGGGAACGCGCCCUUCGGUUCGGGAUAACUCAGGGAAACUUGGGCUAAUACCGGAUACGCCCUUACGGGGAAAGAUUUAUUGCCGAAGGAACGGCCCGCGUCCGAUUAGCCAGUUGGUGAGGUAACGGCUCACCAAGGCGACGAUCGGUAGCUGGUCUGAGAGGAUGACCAGCCCAACGGGGACUGAGACACGGCCCAGACUCCUACGGGGGGCAGCAGGGGGGAAUAUUGGACAAUGGGCGCAAGCCUGGUCCAGCCAUGCCGCGUGGGUGAUGAAGGCCCUAGGGUUGUAAAGCCCUUUCAGCGGGGAAGAUAAUGACGGUACCCGCAGAAGAAGCCCCGGCUAACUUCGUGCAGCAGCCGCCGUAA
rnacentral:rRNA from 1 species